rnacentral:rRNA from 1 species
AGCGAACGCUGGCGGCAGGCUUAACACAUGCAAGUCGAACGGGCACUUCGGUGCUAGUGGCAGACGGGUGAGUAACGCGUGGGAACGUGCCUUUCGGUUCGGAAUAAUCCAGGGAAACUUGGACUAAUACCGGAUACGCCCUUCGGGGGAAAGAUUUAUCGCCGAAAGAUCGGCCCGCGUCUGAUCAGCUAGUUGGUGAGGUAAAGGCUCACCAAGGCGACGAUCAGUAGCUGGUCUGAGAGGAUGAUCAGCCACACUGGGACUGAGACACGGCCCAGACUCCUACGGGAGGAAGCAGUGGGGAAUAUUGGACAAUGGGCGCAAGCCUGAUCCAGCCAUGCCGCGUGAGUGAUGAAGGCCUUAGGGUUGUAAAGCUCUUUUGUCCGGGAAGAUAAUGACUGUACCGGAAGAAUAAGCCCCGGCUAACUUCGUGCCAGCAGCCGCCGUAAAAC